GACAACGUUUCGAAAGGAACGCUAAUACCGCAUACGUCCUACGGGAGAAAGCAGGGGACCUUCGGGCCUUGCGCUAUCAGAUGAGCCUAGGUCGGAUUAGCUAGUUGGUGGGGUAAUGGCUCACCAAGGCGACGAUCCGUAACUGGUCUGAGAGGAUGAUCAGUCACACUGGAACUGAGACACGGUCCAGACUCCUACGGGAGGCAGCAGUGGGGAAUAUUGGACAAUGGGCGAAAGCCUGAUCCAGCCAUGCCGCGUGUGUGAAGAAGGUCUUCGGAUUGUAAAGCACUUUAAGUUGGGAGGAAGGGCAGUAAGCUAAUACCUUGCUGUUUUGACGUUACCGACAGAAUAAGCACCGGCUAACUCUGUGCCAGCAGCCGCGGUAAUACAGAGGGUGCAAGCGUUAAUCGGAAUUACUGGGCGUAAAGCGCGCGUAGGUGGUUUGUUAAGUUGGAUGUGAAAG
rnacentral:rRNA from 1 species